rnacentral:tRNA from 1 species
GGCCACGUAGCUUAAUUGGAAAAGCAGAACAAAUGGUUUCAGUACUGAAACUUAACUGCAGUAAAAAAUUCGCAUUUCAUUCGUAGAAAAAGAUGUGGGUUCGAGCCCCACCGUGGUCG